UCGCAAUAGAUGGAGCCGCCUGUUUUGGAGACUCUGGAGGUCCAUUGUUUAAGUUUGUACUGGAUGAAAGUGGCAUAAAGAAGCCUGUUCUAAUGGGAGUAAUGAGUUAUGUGCUUUGGGGAACCUGUAAAAGCCGGUUUGAUCCGUCCUACUACACUCUCACCCAGCACAAUCUAGACUUCAUUUUUAAAUAUGUCUCCAAGGAUGAGAUGUGUUACGGAUCUAUUACACUAAGGUUAAUGGAAACAUUUAUAACUUUGUUUAGGAUGAGAUGUGUUACGGAUCUAUUACACAAAGGUUAAUG
rnacentral:lncRNA from 1 species